UACGUAGGGUGCAAGCGUUGUCCGGAAUUAUUGGGCGUAAAGAGCUCGUAGGCGGCUGUUCAAGUCGAACGUGAAAACUCGGAGCUCAACUCCGAGCCUGCGUUCGAUACUGGACGGCUAGAGUCUGGUAGGGGGAUCUGGAAUUCCUGGUGUAGCGGUGGAAUGCGCAGAUAUCAGGAGGAACACCGGUGGCGAAGGCGGGAUCCUGGGCCAGUACUGACGCUGAGGAGCGAAAGCGUGGGGAGCGAACAGG
rnacentral:rRNA from 1 species